rnacentral:rRNA from 1 species
UAUGUGAUCGUCUCUCGCAUAUCAAUAAGCGGAGGAAAAGAAACUAACAAGGAUUCCCCUAGUAACGGCGAGUGAAGCGGGAAGAGCUCAAAUUUGAAAUCUUAAAGGGUUUCCCUUUACGAAUUGUAGUUUAAAGAAGUGUUUUCUGUUGAGGUUUUGGUAAAAGUUCUUUGGAAUAGGACAUCAUAGAUAGGGUGAGAAUCCCGUAUUUGACCUUUACUUUCAACUUUGUGAUACACUUUCAAAGAGUCGGAUUGUUUGGGAAUGCAGUCCAAAAUGGGUGGUAAAUUUCAUCUAAAGCUAAAUAUUGGCGAAGAGACCGAUAGCGAACAAGUACCGUGAGGGAAAGAUGAAAAGAACUUUGAAAAGAGAGUUAAACAGUACGUGAAAUUGUCAAAAGGGAAGCGUUUGACACCAGUGUUGUUUUUCUGAAAAUCAAUUAAAGAACUGUUUAUGCUAAGUUGUUUAGACUUUAUCAGCUAACUGUUUGGUUUUGAGCUUUUCUUUAAUGCACUUUUCAGUUAACAAGUCAACAUCAAUUUCUUUUGCUGUAAAAAAGCUUGAGGAAGGUGGCUUGAGAUUCGUCUUAAGUGUUUAUAGCCUCUUGCCUAUGCAGUCGGAGAGAUUGAGGUCUGCAGCGUAGAUCCUUCGGGGCUAAAUGCAUUUGUGCUAAGUUAUAGCAUUUUAUAGACAACUUGUUGACUAUGAUUUGUCUUGUAGCUUACUCGCUUAUGUUAUUUUACCUACGCUUAGGAUGUUGAACGCGCACAGAGUCUC